AUUUAAUAAGAAAAUAUAGGUUUGAUUAAAAUAAAUUUUAGUUGAUUAAAAGGGAAUUAGGUGAGAAUCCUAAACUAUCCCGUAGCUGUAUUGGAGGAGUUUGAAUACAUAUUAUGUCACUUAGAAAUAGGGAAGGCGUAUUCGAAUGAUAAUUCUUAAGUCAGAAGACCUGCCUAUAUUUGGCACCGUAA
rnacentral:ncRNA from 2 species